rnacentral:rRNA from 1 species
AGCAAUACGUCAGCGGCAGACGGGUGAGUAACGCGUGGGAACGUACCUUUUGGUUCGGAACAACACAGGGAAACUUGUGCUAAUACCGGAUAAGCCCUUACGGGGAAAGAUUUAUCGCCGAAAGAUCGGCCCGCGUCUGAUUAGCUAGUUGGUGAGGUAACGGCUCACCAAGGCGACGAUCAGUAGCUGGUCUGAGAGGAUGACCAGCCUCACUGGGACUGAGACACGGCCCAGACUCCUACGGGAGGCAGCAGUGGGGAAUAUUGGACAAUGGGGGCAACCCUGAUCCAGCGACGCCGCGUGUGUGAAGAAGGCCUGCGGG